rnacentral:rRNA from 2 species
AAACCGUUUAGGGGUAAACCUGAGAAACCCGAAAGGUCGAAGGGAGAAAUUCAUUCGCGUUUCGCCGUUGGCGUGAGACGGUCGUGUGACGGAAAACGUUCGCGUUUUCCGCACCUUUCGUUUUUCGAUCCGAUAGCGAACGCGUGCACUUUUCUCCUGGUAGGACGUCGCGAUCCGUUGGGUGUCGGUCUACGGCUCGCGGUGGAGCCCGGAUGUACGGCUUGCCGUUACGUUCGGACCCGUGUGUCCCGGCUGACUCGCUCGACGGUAUACGAAAGGUUUAAGGCCGCUCUUUGAGCGUUCGGCUCGUCGCAAGCGCGUCAGAUGUGUCGGUAAUCGGACCUAGUGCCGGUUCUGACCUCUGGCGACUGUUGGCGGCGAAGUUCUCGAACAGACCUUCGACCGAUCUGCGACGCUAUAGCUUUGGGUACUUUCAGGACCCGUCUUGAAACACGGACCAAGGAGUCUAGCAUGUGCGCAAGUCAUUGGGAAUCACUAAACCUAAAGGCGCAAUGAAAGUAAAGGUCCGCCUUGCGCGGACUGAGGGAAGACGAGCGGUUUACCCUUAAAAGUGGCCGCUCCGCAUUCCCGGGGCGUCUCAUUCUCAUCGCGAGAAGAGGCGCACCAAGAGCGUACACGCUGGGACCCGAAAGAUGGUGAACUAUGCCUGGUCAGGACGAAGUCAGGGGAAACCCUGAUGGAGGUCCGUAGCGAUUCUGACGUGCAAAUCGAUCGUCGGAACUGG